UAAUACGGAAAAACCUUAUUGAAACCGAAAAAAAAAUCCUGUGUUAUUUAUAUGGAAAUCGAAUUUUUGAAAGAGCUAAGCCUGUAAUGGCUUUAACAUUUUUUUUAUACGGCGUUUUUUUAGUAUUAUUUUCUAAUAAGUAUCAGAUUUUCAGGUAGCACAAAGUAUAUAUCGCCUAAAAAUGAAACAGCCUAGUAGGGCGCACGCGCCUGUGGGAAUAGAUUAGGUACUCCAGUUAAGUUUGGAACUCGCAGAACUUCGAAAACAAGUUCAAUCAAAGCCAGUCGCUUCAAAUCGGCAAGACCCAGAAUCGAUUUAGGUCCGACCUACAUUCUAGAGGGUUGCAUAAAUGGUUUUGAAAGGACAAUCAAAGAAUUUGCUAAUUUAGCUAUAUGUAAUUCACUUCACUUCCUCAGAGCUUUCAAAUACUGUCAAAUGCGAAAAAUGGUGAAUCAAAACUUUUGCAAUAAAAUCAUCGAGCACUACUGCAUUUGCUGUCGACUGUCAACCACUGCACACCAAGGCGGCGAAUGCAGUAAAAUUUUAACGAAAACCGCUUUGUGCGAGGCACUCAGCUUGCUGGCCUCAUGGAAUCUGCAAAACCUCUGCAAGAAAUUUAAAGGACAAAAGGUUUGCACUGUGGCAUUCCGUUAUUUGACGGAUGACGACAUCUGUGAACUAAUUCCAAAUAUUGGACCCCGUGCUAUAUUUCGUUCGCAUCUUUUGGCUUGGCGACAACAGCAAGAAAUGAAAAAAGACGGCCACGUUAUUUUACUAAACAGCGAUCAAGUGGAUACAACAAUUGCCAUCAAAAACGAGCUUCCAGAAAUAACCCCAGAAGAAGAGCACGCGAUUAAUAUGUAUGAGGACGCUAAAAAAGAGAGCGAGUUGUACGAAGAUAGCGACUCCAAAACUGUAUCGGUGAUGUGCGAGUCAAAAUGUGAUUGAAAGGACGUCUUCUUCGAAAAAACACUUGGUAUGUAGGCGAAAAUAAUCGCACGCACUAACAGAAAUCGAUGUUAAAGAUUCAGGCACAAUUUUUCAAAAGCUGUGCAGUCGUUUUUUACCAAAAUUUAAUGCUUGAAAUUUUAAACUUUUUAAUCAGAUUUCUUAGAAUGUUGCAGUCUUUUGAAUUCUAGUAAAAGCAAUGCAAGUUCGGAGUUAGUUAAAAAUCGCAUUAAUUUUUGAGAAUUUGUUUUGUUGAAGGUGUUUUGCAUUUUUUUUCAUAUAAAGUAUUUUCGGCCGCUGUGGUGUAGUGGUAAGCAGUGCGCGCUUUCAUUCAUCAGCACCCGGGUUCAAGUCCUGGUCAAAGCAACAUCGCAAAAAAUAUAGAAAAA